GACGAACGCUGGCGGCGUGCUUAACACAUGCAAGUCGAACGGAAAGGCCCUGCUGUUGUGGGGUGCUCGAGUGGCGAACGGGUGAGUAACACGUGAGUAACCUGCCCUUGACUUUGGGAUAACUUCAGGAAACUGGGGCUAAUACCGGAUAGGAGCUCCUGCUGCAUGGUGGGGGAUGGAAAGUUUCGGCGGUUGGGUAUGGACUCGCGGCUUAUGAGCUUGUUGGUGGGGUAGUGGCUUACCAAGGCUUUGACGGGUAGCCGGCCUGAGAGGGUGACCGGCCACAUUGGGACUGAGGUACGGCCCAGACUGCUACGGGAGGCAGCAGUGGGGAAUAUUGCACAAUGGGCGGAAGCCUGAUGCAGCAACGCCGCGUGCGGGAUGACGGCCUUCGGGUUGUAAACCGCUUUCGCCUGUGACGAAGCGUGAGUGACGGUAAUGGGUAAAGAAGCACCGGCUAACUACGUG
rnacentral:rRNA from 1 species